rnacentral:rRNA from 1 species
AGAGUUUGAUCCUGGCUCAGAUUGAACGCUGGCGGCAUGCUUUACACAUGCAAGUCGAACGGCAGCGCGGGGCAACCUGGCGGCGAGUGGCGAACGGGUGAGUAAUAUAUCGGAACGUACCCAAGAGUGGGGGAUAACGUAGCGAAAGUUACGCUAAUACCGCAUACGAUCUCAGGAUGAAAGCAGGGGACCGCAAGGCCUUGUGCUCCUGGAGCGGCCGAUAUCUGAUUAGCUAGUUGGUGAGGUAAAGGCUCACCAAGGCGACGAUCAGUAGCUGGUCUGAGAGGACGACCAGCCACACUGGAACUGAGACACGGUCCAGACUCCUACGGGAGGCAGCAGUGGGGAAUUUUGGACAAUGGGCGCAAGCCUGAUCCAGCAAUGCCGCGUGAGUGAAGAAGGCCUUCGGGUUGUAAAGCUCUUUUGUCAGGGAAGAAACGGUCGAGGUUAAUACCUUCGGCUAAUGACGGUACCUGAAGAAUAAGCACCGGCUAACUACGUGCCAGCAGCCGCGGUAAUACGUAGGGUGCAAGCGUUAAUCGGAAUUACUGGGCGUAAAGCGUGCGCAGGCGGUUUUGUAAGUCUGAUGUGAAAUCCCCGGGCUCAACCUGGGAAUUGCAUUGGAGACUGCAAGGCUAGAAUCUGGCAGAGGGGGGUAGAAUUCCACGUGUAGCAGUGAAAUGCGUAGAGAUGUGGAGGAACACCGAUGGCGAAGGCAGCCCCCUGGGUCAAGAUUGACGCUCAUGCACGAAAGCGUGGGGAGCAAACAGGAUUAGAUACCCUGGUAGUCCACGCCCUAAACGAUGUCUACUAGUUGUCGGGUUUUAAUUAACUUGGUAACGCAGCUAACGCGUGAAGUAGACCGCCUGGGGAGUACGGUCGCAAGAUUAAAACUCAAAUGAAUUGACGG